UCUCUCAGCUGAUUGUAAACAGAUAAGAUGGCGACAAGACGCAACUUCAGUGUUCAUUUAAAGCUAGACGUUUUGAAAUAUUCUGAACAAAUGUCGGGGGAAUAUGCCGCGGGGCAUAUGACGCCUGGUAUGCAGAGGACGGCAACAAGACCUUCACAAAAGGAGGGGGAACAGGAGAGCAGCUGACAAACGUCUCCAGGUCCAGUAAUUUCCUCUUUGGUUGGUGUCAUGACUGCCCAGUACCUGGACAACUGAGCCGUGGCAGUACACAGACCAAAGGAGUUGAGGUUGUAUGAAGACACAUCUUGAUGUUUCUUGAUGGUCUGAGGGAAGAUCACCUUUGAGAUCCACCAUCCUGACCUGGGAAACUUUCCAUCAGCUGAAUGGACCCUGUCAGCAGGGAAGAUGGCAGGAUUGUCCCAGUCCAUGUGUGAUGGCACUCUGGGGGCCCUCUCCUUCCUCAGGCAGGCCACAUUGUGGAGGACAGCACAGGCCACAGUGAUGUCACAUCCCCUCAAAGGGCUGACCCUUAAGUGGUUAAGACAGUGAAAGCGUGCCUUCAGGAAGCCAAAGGUCAUUUUGAUCCUGGCCCUUGUCCUGGCAUGGGCAAUGAUUAUAGGAUUAUAGCAGAGGAACAUGGAGCAUGAGGAGCAAAGAUAAGAUAAGGUAAGGUAAGACAAGAUAAGAUAAGAUAAGAUAAGAUAAGAUAAGAUAAGAGCAACUUUAUUUAUCCCAAAGGGAAAUUCAAUUAAGUCAGUGAGCUCAUCUAUUUAUCAAAGAGUUAUACACUCUGAUGGAGUUACAUUUACACAAUUUCACUCACAUCUGCAGUCAAUUUCACUUAGAAUUUCAACUGAUUCAUAAUCAGAGUACAACUACGUUUUCGUAGAUGUUAAUUAACUAUUUGGAUUGUAAUUGUGAUGGUAUUUGUGCACUACUUACACAAUCAGGCGGUCUGCAAUACUUUGCCAUGCUUUCUCUCGUUGUUUUACAACUGCGGCGGUGUUGCCUUUCUUUUUGAUUUGAUCCUUUACCUCUUCAUAAGCCUCCAUGAGGAUUUCUGCCUCCGAUGGGGAAAAGUACACCGCUCUUGUUGCCAUGGUGAAUCGGUGAUUCUGUGAUCAAUGGCUACACCCUAAUACACCGGGCACCAGGACGAGAGAGAGAGAAUAUCAAAAAUAAAACAUAAAGUCACUGACUUUGAUUCUCUGCCUGAUCAAACUAAAAUGCAACACAUCCUUGGAGAGAACAGAGUCAGCAGCUUAGCAGCAGCAACAUAUGUCAGGUUAUGCCAAAGCCUGAGGGACAACCAUCACAACACCUGACACACCUGUCUAUAUUUACAGUCCUUGUAACUCACAAUCUACAUUUUUCUUUAUUCAUUUUUUUUUCUAUAUUAUAUAUUGGUGUAUUGUAUUGUAGAUUGGUGUAUUUUGUAUUAUAUAUCAUAUAUUUAAUCUUUUUUUUAUAGUUUUCUGACUUACUUUUAUUAUUGUACUUUAUUUGUAAAUUUUAAUGUCUUUGGCAAUAUUGUUAAUCUACAGUCAUGCCAAUAAAGCUUAUUGAAUUGAGAGAGAGAGAGAGAGAGAGAGAGAGAGAGAAGGUGCCUGGUGUAUUAUUGGGAGCCCUCCGGCAGACUUUUAAUGCACAUUUCCCAAUGAUUCAAAUCACAUCUUGCUAACUCGGCCAUUCUGGAUGUCACUAACUCGGCUUCUUCUCCGGAGCCUUUGUGCUCCACUGUCUCUCAGGUUAACUCGUAUUGCAGCAGUGCCUGGAUAGUGUGACGUGUAUGGUUGUGCUGCUGCCGUGGUCCUGCCAGAUGCCUCCUGCUGCUGCUGUUAUCAUUAGUCAUACUUCUAUUGAUAUUAUACACAUAUGAUUAUUGUCACAUAUGUAUACUAUCAGAUUAACAUACUUUCAGCAUAUUGUACCACAGUAGCCAGAACUAUAAUUAUAAUAUUAUUAGGAGAUGCCUCCUGCUGCUGCUGUUAUCAUUAGUCACACUUCUACUAGGCCUAAGUCAGCCUAACUAGGGGCUGGUACAAGGCAAGCCUGAGCCAGCCCUAACUAUAAGUUUUAUCAAAGAGGAAAGUCUUAAGUCUAGUCUUAAAUGUGGAGAUGGUGUCUGCCUCCUGGACCGUAACAGGAAGAUGAUUCCACAGGAGAGGAGCCUGAUAGCUGAAGGCUCUUGCUCCCGAUCUACUUUUGGAGACUUUAGGGACCACGAGUAACCCUGUAUUCUCCGAGCACAGUGUUCUGGUGGGAUAAUAUGGCACUAUGAGCUCUCUAAGAUAUGACAGUGUUGGGGUCAACAUAUAUUUACCUUACACAGCAGCACCGAAAAUGGGAACAUAAAUUCGGGCUUCACAUGGAGGCACCAAAUAUGUUGGGAUUUAAUUGACUAUCGGAAGUAAUUAAUGAUUAUUAUUAAUAAUUAAUAAUUAUGUUAAAUAAUGUGACUUAAUUAACAUUAAAUCACCUCGUGGGGCACCAUUCCCGUAAAGGGAAAAAUGAUAGCUAGCUAAAGAUAUCAGUCUCAUAAAAUACGCCAAACUAUUAAUUUGGAGUUUUGAUUAAUAAUUAAAUUAAUGACAACAACCAAAAUUAACAGUAACGCCUGAGGGAUUUCGGAGUUCUUGACGCAGCAGAGGUUGACUAUUCAUUCACUCUUGUGCAACAUUAAACAGACAGCAGGACACUUGAGGAAAGUUACAACGCCUCGACCAAUGUGAUAUUUACUCCACAGUAAAGAGGUUGUUUCACAAGAAAUUAAGAUUUUGCAAAUUAUGACACUGGGUCCUAAUCCAUAGGUUUUAUAAUUACUUUUGCAAAUCUUUUCAUUUAUUUCAUUUGUACUUUUUGUAACCUUUUAAUAUGGAUGUUUUCAUGAAUGCAAGCUUUGACUUAAUUUUGUUAAACUGUUUGUGUAAUGGUUAGAAUUUUUGUGAUUAAAAAGUGGAUCAGACAAAAUUGACUUUAGAGUAAAAGCAAAUUUUCUGAAAGCUGUCAUUCAUCAGUUUCCUGUGAUGACUGGGAAUAUACCCAGCCAGCACACUCAUGUGGGGCCCAGAUGGGCUCCACCAGGGCUGAUAUGUGGGGCCCAGUCUGGCUGCCCAUCUGGGGCCCAGCUAAAUUUGUCCUCAGUUUCCAUGGAGGCCCCACGUGUGUUAGCCCUGAUGGGCUGAUGAUGGGCCCUUGCUGGGCUUCAUGUGGGUCCCACAUGGGCAGAACUGUUUUUCCCCAUGUGGGUCCCACAGAUUUUCCCUUACAUGGGUUGAUGACGGGCCCUUGUUGGGCUUCAUACAGGUCCCACGUGGGCAAAACCAGUUUCUCCCAUGUGGAGCCUAUGGAGUUUUUCAUGGGUUGGUGAUAGGACACAACUCAGUUUUAUGUAGUGUUUGUGUGGAACACAGCAGAUGAAUAUGGACUAAAUCACAUUCACAUGGAUUCCUAAUUACAAACAUAUAUAUAUUAUAUAUAUAUAUAUAUAUAUGUAUAUGUUUCCAUCCAGGGGGUCAGUGUGGACAUUGUAGAGGACUAUAAGUACCUGGGGGUACACACUGACAAUAUACUGGACUGGGUUAAGAACACUAAUGCUCUCUACAGGAAGGGCCAGAGCCGUCUCUAUUUUCUGAGGUGACUGAGGUCCUUCAACAUCUGCCAGACUAUGCUCAGGAUUUUCUAUGAGUCUGUGGUGGCCAGUACUAUCCUCUAUGCUGUUGUGUGCUGGGGCAGCAAGCUGAGGGUGGCGAACGCCAACAGACUCAACAAACUGAUCCGCAAGGCCAGUGACGUUGUGGGAACAGAAUGUGACUCUCUGAUGGUGGUGUCAGAGAGGAGGAUGCUGUCUAGGCUAUGAACUAUCUUGGACAAUGUCUCACACCCACUCCACCAUGUGCUGGUCAGGCACAAGAGUACUUUCAGUGGGAGACUCAUACCACCAAGAUGUACCACUGAGCACCACAGGAAAUCAUUCCUGCCUGUGGCCAUCAAACUGUACAACUCCUCCCUCUGAGUGGCCCUGAGACUUUUUCACACACACUGCAAAAAUCCAGUGUAACUUGUGCAAUAACCCCAUUUCACCCUGACUGUAUAUAUU